rnacentral:rRNA from 1 species
AGCCUUUCGAAAGAAAGAUUAAUAUCCGAUAGCAUAUAUUUCCCGCAUGGGUUUUAUAUUAAAGAAAUUCGGUAUGAGAUGGGGAUGCGUUCCAUUAGUUUGUUGGGGGGGUAACGGCCCACCAAGACUACGAUGGAUAGGGGUUCUGAGAGGAAGGUCCCCCACAUUGGAACUGAGACACGGUCCAAACUCCUACGGGAGGCAGCAGUGAGGAAUAUUGGUCAAUGGACGCGAGUCUGAACCAGCCAAGUAGCGUGAAGGAUGACUGCCCUAUGGGUUGUAAACUUCUUUUAUAUGGGAAUAAAGUUGUCCACGUGUGGAUUUUUGUAUGUACCAUAUGAAUAAGGAUCGGCUAACUCCGUGCCAGCAGCCGCGGUAAUACGGAGGAUCCGAGCGUUAUCCGGAUUUAUUGGGUUUAAAGGGAGCGUAGGCGGAUUGUUAAGUCAGUUGUGAAAGUUUGCGGCUCAACCGUAAAAUUGCAGUUGAUACUGGCAGUCUUGAGUGCAGUAGAGGUGGGCGGAAUUCGUGGUGUAGCGGUGAAAUGCUUAGAUAUCACGAAGAACUCCGAUUGCGAAGGCAGCUCACUGGAGUGUAACUGACGCUGAUGCUCGAAAGUG